rnacentral:rRNA from 1 species
UACGUAGGGACCGAGCGUUGUCCGGAAUCAUUGGGCGUAAAGAGCGUGUAGGCGGCCACUUAAGUCCUGCGUGAAAUCUUGCGGCUCAACCGCAAGCGGUCGUGGGAAACUGGGUGGCUAGAGUGCGGGAGAGGAGAGUGGAAUUCCUGGUGUAGCGGUGGAAUGCGCAGAUAUCAGGAAGAACACCGGUGGCGAAGGCGGUCUGCUGGGCCAAGACUGACGCUGAGGCGCGACAGCGUGGGGAGCAAACAGG